rnacentral:rRNA from 1 species
GGGGAAUAUUGGACAAUGGGCGCAAGCCUGAUCCAGCCAUGCCGCGUGGGUGAAGAAGGCCUUCGGGUUGUAAAGCCCUUUUGUUGGGAAAGAAAAGCAGCCGGCCAAUACCCGGUUGUUCUGACGGUACCCAAAGAAUAAGCACCGGCUAACUUCGUGCCAGCAGCCGCGGUAAUACGAAGGGUGCAAGCGUUACUCGGAAUUACUGGGCGUAAAGCGUGCGUAGGUGGUGGUUUAAGUCCGUUGUGAAAGCCCUGGGCUCAACCUGGGAACUGCCUUUGAUACUGGAAGUCUUGAGUCCGAGAGAGGUGAGUGGAACUCCGAGUGUAGAGGUGAAAUUCGUAGAUAUUCGGAAGAACACCAGUGGCGAAGGCGGCUCACUGGCUCGGUACUGACGCUGAGGUGCGAAAGCGUGGGGAGCAAACA